rnacentral:rRNA from 1 species
GACAGAGGGUGCGAACGUUGUUCGGAAUUACUGGGCGUAAAGCGCGUGUAGGCGGCAGCGUAAGUCGGGCGUGAAAUCCCACGGCUCAACCGUGGAAGUGCACUCGAAACUGCGCAGCUAGAGUCCUGGAGAGGAAGGUGGAAUGCUUGGUGUAGAGGUGAAAUUCGUAGAUAUCAAGCGGAACACCGGUGGCGAAGGCGACCUUCUGGACAGUGACUGACGCUGAGACGCGAAAGCGUGGGGAGCAAACAGG